rnacentral:misc_RNA from 1 species
AACGCACCUUGCGCUCUUUGGUUAUUCCGAAGAGCAUGCUUGUUUGAGUGUCGCGAACUUCUCAACCCCGCCUUUUGUAACAGAAAGGUAGCCUGGGCUUUUGAAUCAUGGUCUUUUGCCAGUUACAAUGGCUAGACUGAAAGAUAGGAAGCUGUAUGCACGCAUAGUAGCGGCUUGACCUGAUGUUGUGGUAUAAACUCAUCGGGGACGUUACUGCCUGUUGUAAAGAGCUUUAAAGUUUACCCUUUAUAGUACAUAAUGACCUCAAAUCAAGUAGGACUACCCGCUGAACUUAA